CAGCCGCCACGGGAAUACGAAGGGUGCAAGCGUUACUCGGAAUUACUGGGCGUAAAGCGUGCGUAGGUGGUGGUUUAAGUCCGUUGUGAAAGCCCUGGGCUCAACCUGGGAAUUGCAGUGGAUACUGGCAAGCUAGAGUGUGUCAGAGGAUGGUGGAAUUCCCGGUGUAGCGGUGAAAUGCGUAGAGAUCGGGAGGAACAUCAGUGGCGAAGGCGGCCAUCUGGGACAACACUGACGCUGAGGCACGAAAGCGUGGGGAGCAAACAGGAUUAGAUACCCCCGUAGUCCCUGUCUCUUAUAA
rnacentral:rRNA from 1 species